CAGUCGCCACGGUAAAACGAAGGGUGCAAGCGUUAAUCGGAAUUACUGGGCAUAAAGCGUGCGCAGGCGGUUUGUUAAGACAGAUGUGAAAUCCCCGGGCUCAACCUGGGAACUGCAUCUGUGACUGGCAAGCUAGAGUGUGGCAGAGGGGGGUGGAAUUCCGCGUGUAGCAGUGAAAUGCGUAGAUAUGCGGAGGAACACCGAUGGCGAAGGCAGCCCCCUGGGCCAACACUGACGCUCAUGCACGAAAGCGUGGGGAGCAAACAGGAUUAGAUACCCGGGUAGUCCCUGUCUCUUAUAA
rnacentral:rRNA from 1 species